GGCCAGUGUAAUGAUGAAAACAUCACAUAUGUGAGGCACGGUGUCAGGCAGAACACAGAAUUAUUCCUGGUUCCGAAAUUGGCGUGGUGUUCUCCAUGGGGCCAGCACAUCAAUUGGUAUACAUCUCAAGCUGGAGUACGCAGUGCCUCAGGGUACAUGCCGUGGGAUAAAAAUGGCACAUUUCCUAAAGUGCUUCCAUCGGACUUAAUGCUGCCACGUAAGACACGCCUGCUUUUCCUUCCGCCAUGAUUAUAAGUUUCCUGAGGCUUCCCCAGCCAUGCAGAACUUAAAACACUGAACAGUGGCCCAGGUCAGUCCUUUCUCUUCUGCAUUUGGCUCUGGACAUAUUCAAGAGCUUGGUGGGCUCAUUAUGCACCGGCUAUGAUGAUGGUCAGUGGGAAACGCCAGCGCCUGUAGUGGAAAAACUAGCCUGGAAGAAUUUCCUAGGUACAAGGCUUAUCAGGAUCCAUCAAAAUAGAACUGCGUGGAAGAGGAAGAGAAUGCAUUGUGGGGAGAAGUUAACAUUAAAUCAA